rnacentral:rRNA from 1 species
UUAUUGGGCGUNAGCGAGCGCAGGCGGUUUUUUAAGUCUGAUGUGAAAGCCCUCGGCUUAACCGAGGAAGCGCAUCGGAAACUGGGAAACUUGAGUGCAGAAGAGGACAGUGGAACUCCAUGUGUAGCGGUGAAAUGCGUAGAUAUAUGGAAGAACACCAGUGGCGAAGGCGGCUGUCUGGUCUGUAACUGACGCUGAGGCUCGAAAGCAUGGGUAGCGAACAGGAUUAGAUACCCUGGUAGUCCAUGCCGUAAACGAUGAAUGCUAGGUGUUGGAGGGUUUCCGCCCUUCAGUGCCGCAGCUAACGCAUUAAGCAUUCCGCCUGGGGAGUACGACCGCAAGGUUGAAACUCAAAGGAAUUGACGGGGGCCCGCACAAGCGGUGGAGCAUGUGGUUUAAUUCGAAGCAACGCGAAGAACCUUACCAGGUCUUGACAUCUUUUGAUCACCUGAGAGAUCAGGUUUCCCCUUCGGGGGCAAAAUGACAGGUGGUGCAUGGUUGUCGUCAGCUCGUGUCGUGAGAUGUUGGGUUAAGUCCCGCAACGAGCGCAACCCUUAUGACUAGUUGCCAGCAUUUAGUUGGGCACUCUAGUAAGACUGCCGGUGACAAACCGGAGGAAGGUGGGGAUGACGUCAAAUCAUCAUGCCCCUUAUGACCUGGGCUACACACGUGCUACAAUGGAUGGUACAACGAGUUGCGAGACCGCGAGGUCAAGCUAAUCUCUUAAAGCCAUUCUCAGUUCGGACUGUAGGCUGCAACUCGCCUACACGAAGUCGGAAUCGCUAGUAAUCGCGGAUCAGCACGCCGCGGUGAAUACGUUCCCGGGCCUUGUACACACCGCCCGUCACACCAUGAGAGUUUGUAACACCCGAAGCCGGUGGCGUAACCCUUUUAGGGAGCGAGCCGUCUAANNGGGANAAUGAUUNGGUGAAGUCGUACA